rnacentral:rRNA from 2 species
GGAGGAAAAGAAACCAACAGGGAUUGCCUUAGUAGCGGCGAGUGAAGCGGCAAAAGCUCAAAUUUGAAAUCUGGUACCUUCGGUGCCCGAGUUGUAAUUUGAAGAAAACUAUCUUGGAUUUGGCCUUUGUCUAUGUUCCUUGGAACAGGACGUCAUAGAGGGUGAGAAUCCCGUUCGAUGAGGUGUCCAUUUCUAUGUAAGAUGUUUUCGAAGAGUCGAGUUGUUUGGGAAUGCAGCUCUAAGUGGGUGGUAAAUUCCAUCUAAAGCUAAAUAUUGGCGAGAGACCGAUAGCGAACAAGUACUGUGAAGGAAAGAUGAAAAGAACUUUGAAAAGAGAGUGAAAAAGUACGUGAAAUUGUUGAAAGGGAAGGGUAUUUGAUCAGACUUGGUAUUUAGUUAUCAUUGCUCCUUGUGGGUGGUGCUCUAGCUUUUUACUGGGCCAGCAUCAGUUUUGGUGGCAAGAUAAUGGCAGUUGAAUGUAGCUCCUCGGAGUAUUAUAGCCUCUGUUGAUAUUGCCUACUGGGACUGAGGUCUGCGGCUUUUGCCUAGGAUGCUGGCGUAAUGAUCCAAUACCGCCCGUCUUGAACACA